rnacentral:rRNA from 1 species
UACGUAGGGUGCAAGCGUUAAUCGGAAUUACUGGGCGUAAAGCGUGCGCAGGCGGUGAUGUAAGACAGAUGUGAAAUCCCCAGGCUCAACCUGGGAACUGCGUCUGAUACUGGAUGGCUUGAAUCCGGGAGAGGGAUGCAGAAUUCCAGGUGUAGCGGUGAAAUGCGUAGAUAUCUGGAGGAAUACCGGUGGCGAAGGCGGCAUCCUGGACCGGCAUUGACGCUGAGGAGCGAAAGCCAGGGGAGCAAACGGG